rnacentral:rRNA from 1 species
GACAACGGAUAUUUUGGCUCUUGCUUCGAUGAAGAACGCAGCGAAAUAUGAUACUUGGUGUGAAUUGGAGAAUCCCGUGAACCAUCGAGUCUCUGAACGCAAGUUGCGCCUGAAGCCAUUAAGCCGAUGGCGCACCUGCCUGGAUGUCACACACCGUUGCCCCCCCG